GAUGAACGCUAGCGGCAGGCUUAACACAUGCAAGUCGAGGGGUAUAUGUCUUCGGAUAUAGAGACCGGCGCACGGGUGCGUAACGCGUAUGCAAUCUGCCUUUCACAGAGGGAUAGCCCAGAGAAAUUUGGAUUAAUACCUCAUAGUAUAAUCAAGCCGCAUGGUUUAAUUAUUAAAGUCACAACGGUGAAAGAUGAGCAUGCGUCCCAUUAGCUAGUUGGUAAGGUAACGGCUUACCAAGGCAACGAUGGGUAGGGGUCCUGAGAGGGAGGUCCCCCACACUGGUACAGAGAAACGGACCAGACUCCUACGGGAGGCAGCAGUGAGGAAUAUUGGACAAUGGGCGCAAGCCUGACCCAGCCAUGCCGCGUGCAGGAUGACGGUCCUAUGGAUUGUAAACUGCUUUUGUACGAGAAGAAACAUCCCGACGUGUCGGGACUUGACGGUAUCGUAAGAAUAAGGAUCGGCUAACUCCGUGCCAGCAGCCGCCGUAAGAC
rnacentral:rRNA from 1 species